UGGAAAGAAAACGAGGGUAUGGUAGGCACCAUAGUAUUCCUUCCGUCCAAACAAAAUGAAAGGACAUAGACCCAUUUGCCUGCUAAAGAAACUAGACGCAUGACUGUAUAUGGAAUCAAAGAAUGUAUUUAGUUAAACAGGUUAAUCGUAUGCCAUUGAUAAAACGACGACUGAUUAACCUAUUUUACUUUUUAAAAAUGAGCAAGUAAUCCUAUGCCAUUGGUAAAACCCACGGCGACUGAUUAACCUACUUUAGUUUUUUUUUAAAUGAGCAGGUUAAUCGUAUGCCAUUGGUAAAAACCACAACGACUGAUUAACCUACUCGUACCUUUCCUUCUGUGAUGGAUUGAUUCGGUGUGGUGUGCAGCAAUGAAAAUAUUUCUGUUACGACGUAGUUCAUGACGCAAGUGAAGACUAACACUUGUCGUCACUAACAGAUGCUUCCACUUUUGUGCAAGCAAAGUAACGUUGCCCGAUAAAUUCUUCGUUGCCAGAUAAAUUCUUCGUUUUUUUUACACACGGCUGCUGCUGGCUCAUCUGUUGUCCUAGAUAGAUGCUGCCCCUCCUUGCGUGCUGUUAAGGGUUUUAAACAUUCAGCUCCUUAAAGACAUCAUUGCCGAAUCGAAAUUCCACUGAGACGACAAUCCAUCUGUAGAUAAAAAAGAAAAGUUUUUACACAGCAGUUUUGAUAGACGAUAACAAGUAAGGCUACACGCUAUUACUCAGAGGUUGGACGUAACUAAUUUUCCAAGUGGAAUUAGAUGGCUAUUAAAAUUAAAUAGCCUGUCAUUUCAUACAUACAAUUUACAUUAGCAUUCGCGACAGGAAAGGACGUGAAAAAAAACAAACCCACUUUCAUUUUUCAAUUUGAUUAAACAUGUCUAAUACUCUGUGAACGUCGUGUGUCAACUGACCAUAAAAUAUUGCAAUCAUUCCCAUUAACCGAUUAGUUUCGAAUGAAGAAAAGAAACAAAGGUAACCUAGCAGCCGUCUUGGAUUGCCCUUUCUAGUCAAACCAUAAUGGUCGUACGAGAAAGUCCGCUAUUACACGGGACACACAUCCAAUUACCUCCAACUAAAUGCUGGGCAUGGGCCAUUCGUCCGUUGUUAAUCUGGAACCGGAUUCUUGGCGUUGAACUGGCAGAGAUUUCACCUUUAGCCGGAAAGACCUUUCGGUGGCUUACAUUUGCAUACAGAGUUUUCUGUUUGUUGUUGCACGUCACUUGUCUUGCGGACAUUUUCUAUUUUUUGCACACCAUACGAAUGCAGGCCUCGCUUGAUCCGCCCCAAGGGCUAAUGGUUUUCAGCACAGAAACGGCUACGUGGAACUGAAUAAUCGAUUUCAUUAAUUAUGGUAUUCAUGCAAUUAGAACUCACGUUAUCUUGCUGACUGCCAUGCGACCACUCGAUCUGCUGGAAAGUUUCAAUCGAAUGAAACUCGUUGUAGCUGCAGACAAUUACAAUCGAAUUCGCAGAAUAUCUUCGUUGGGAAUCGUUUACAUCAUCUUGGUGGUGUCUGGGAUUCUUUUGUUGGUCACGGAUUAUCAUCUGCGCAGGAGAACUUCUUUUAACAAUCUUCAUCACUUCUAUUUCGACAUUAUCAGCCAUCUAUCCAAUGACUGCCUUGCUACUGUUUGUCGUUCACUGCUAUGCUUCGUCUCUUGCAUUCGAGCUGAUCCAGAUGGAAAUCGAGCGACGUGAAGUUCAGUUAUUAAACAGCCAGCACGAAGACGUCAGACAUUUCGUUUUUGCAGUAAAGCAAAGAUAUUUCCUGGCCUGUGAUACAGUCGAUAACAUUAACUAUAGUUUUGGUUGGAUACUGCUCCUAUCUACAACCUUUUAUUUUGUUGCCAUUAUCAAUUCGAGCUUUUACCUGUUUGGCAUGGAACUCAAAACGGCAACGAAUCUCUCCUUUUUGUUGUUUGCUUUGGUCCACCUGAUCUUAAUGUGUUCCUUUGCAGAUCGUGUUUCCAACAAGGCUGGAGAUGUUAUAAGACAAUUAUUAAAAUUUAAAUGGGCUGACACACCGUUAGCUGGCAAUCAAAUGGAAGUAACAACAAAAAGAAGAUUUGAUGCGGAAUUGAGACAAGUAGGGGAGACUGGAGUUAGCCGGGACGGUUUUCGUUUUCCCCCUAUAUCUCCCAAACUAAUCAUUAAAUUAAUUUAUUAUUUUGUUUUUAUGUAUUCCAUA
rnacentral:lncRNA from 1 species